GUUUCAGACGGACCCUCGUGGGGUUAGC
rnacentral:other from 1 species